rnacentral:rRNA from 1 species
GACGAACGCUGGCGGCGCGCUUAACACAUGCAAGUCGAGCGAAGCGGCGGACGGGUGAGUAACACGUGAGUAACCUGCCUUAGACAUUGGGAUAGCCUCGGGAAACCGGGAUUAAUACCAAAUGGUCUAAGAUGGACUCGCGUCCCAUUAGCUAGUUGGUGGGUCACUGCCCACCAAGGAGACGAGGGGUAGCCGGCCUGAUGUGGUGAACGGCCACAGUGGAACUGAGAAACGGUCCAAACUCUACGGGAGGCAGCAGUGGUGAAUAUUGCACAAUGGAGGGAACUCUGAUGCAGCGACGCCGCGUGAACGAAGAAGGCUUUCGAGUCGUAAAGUUCGUUUAUAUGGGAAGCGGUACCAUAAGAAAAAGCCCCGGCGAACUACGUGCCAGCAGCCGCGGUAAAUAC